rnacentral:misc_RNA from 1 species
UCCCCCCCCCAAAAAAAAAAAAAAAAAAAAAAAAACGAAACAAAACAAACAAAAAAAAUCUGAUAAACAAAAAUAUUGAUGUCUGAAGUAAAAAAUUUAAACAAGCAAAACUUUCAACAACGGAUCUCUUGGUUCCGGCAUCGAUGAAGAACGCAGCGAAAUGCGAUAAGUAAUGUGGACCGCAGUACUCAGCGACUCAUCGAAUCUUUGAACGCACAUUGCGCCACUUGGUAUCACCAAAGGGCACACCUGUUCGAGCGUCAUCAUACAUCGCAUCAAGUCAAGGGCCCGCUUGCAAUUGGGCUUUGUCUGCUUUAUGUAGAAGUCUAAAAGUCAGUGACGGUUAAGUUAGGCAUUCCAGCGUAGUGGUUUAAAUUAGCUGUUGAAAUGUCUUUUACAUGACAGUCAAAACAUCCAGGGUAUCUGCUGGCGGAGACCCCCCCCCAGGGUUUCCGUUGGCGGAGACCAUUGGAUUU